GUAGCAGUAGUGGUUUCCGGAUUAGUAUUGUAGCAGUUGUAUGUGGUGGUAGUGGUGGUGGUGGUGGUCCACGGGGGGGCAGGGGGGACAGGAGCAGUAGUCAGGUUGGUGAGGGGCAGGUCGCAGCAGGUCGGGGCGGGGCGACACAGAGGUGAUCAGGGUGGGAGGGUCGGGAGGCAGAGGAGCAGCGGGAAGGGUAGGGGGAGGGGAGGGGCAGGGUAGGGGUAUGUGAUUGAGGUGAGUUAGGCUGGAGGGAGGGGCGGAGGGGCGGCACUGAAGUGACCCCAACAGGAGGGGAAGGAGAGGCGGGGACUGAGGUGAGUCGAGCGGGAGGGGCGGGACUGAGGUGAGCCCGGCGGGAGGGGCGGGAGGGGCGGGACUGAGGUGAGCCGGGCCGGGGCGGGAGGGCGGUGCACCGGUGUGGCGCGGUGGCCGGACGCCCCACAAUCAAUACGGCCCACGCCCCUGGGCGGACCCACGGCAGCAGCACCGCCGCCACACCGCCCAGCCACCGCCCAGACCCUGCCAGCGCCGCGGCGGCCGAACACGCGCUGCCGCUGCUCCGCACAGGGCACAGUCUUUUAUGUUGUUUGUGUUUGUUGUCAGGCUUUUGUACGGUUUGUUGGAAACUGCACCUGGCUCGCCAGAUCUACCACCCACUCUCUCGCACCACCACACCCACGACAGCACCAACACUGACUGUUUACUUGCCGCUUUACGGACGCACCGCAUUCUGACUUGAGUUAAUGUGUUUUUCCUUUACGUGUGUUGCACCACGACAUCUGCUGGCUCCACGGCCAGCGGCACCUGCACCUUGCACCUGCACCACUUGCACCUCCACCACCACAACCACCUCCACCACCACCUAAGCCACUACCACCUCACGUGCACCGCGCCCCGGCAACGCCCACCGUCAGCCCCGCUCCUGACAGCGGCAGCAGCAGCAUCAGUAGCAGGAGCAGCGUGCACCUCAGCCUGGUGGGGGCGUCAAUAGUGAAGUAAGGGGGCGGGUGGGAGACGCGCUCCUUAAAGCUGCAGUCACACACCCCCACGCGGCAGGGCCCCGACACGCCACUCCCGCCCCUACGCAGUCCCGCCGCGAGGACCGCCUCUCCCUGCACCACCUGGCUCAUAUUGAUUGUGAUACCUGAAUGUGAUGAGUGAAUAAUUGCCCCAAUAACACCUGCUCGCACACUAUGUAAUGUCUGACCACACCACCACUGAUAUGCACGCGCAAUGAUGAAACUGUAAACGUCUUCCUUCAUAAUAUUAGUCAAGAAAACCAACCCAGGAUCACUCGUUAAGAAGCACAACUGCCACGUUUGUAUCUUCCAGUGACGCACACGUUAAAGUACCGCACACACAUCCGUGGCUCCCUAGUGUAGGAAUGAUCCCGUCUGUCCCAGGAGAAAAAGCCUGACACGAGGCAAGAGACCGUCUGAUGAGGGCGGGGAGCGAGCCACGACAAACACUUGAGGCGCCGUGAGAGCCACGCCGCCACACCUGCCACACUCCACCUCCCUGGCACCCCGCCGCCAGGCACUCGCUCACCAUGGCACUCGCCGGACGCCGCGGCCCACCACAUCUUAUGCACCUCACAACGCGAGGGAAAUGAGCGGUCCUUGCUGGCCUGUUCCAAGUCUUCCCCCUCACGUGUCCACUUGUUUGUCUGCCGGGAGUCCUCGGCGAGUCGCUCUGAUUAGCGUGACCACAAACCUCAUAAUACGAUAGGCAGCCCGACACAAGGGACUCGCUUCCUGUGCACGUCCAGGAGCGUCAGCGUCUUCCUCACCCACACUGCUGACAUUCUUCCAUUACAUGACAUAAGGUAUUUCCUCCAAGGCUUCCUGACAAGACUUCCCCCGCACGCACGCAGCACGCACACCACCACCACCACCACCACAGGGCCGCGAUGCUACAUGUCCCCACAAAGUAAACACAGCCUCUUCCCUCCCCGCAAGUUGGAUGCUGAGACGCACACUUGUCAACACUUCAGCUUGGAAUGAUGAAGAGGAAUGAAACUGUCAACAUUUUUUCCUUCGCCUCACGCAGAAGUUUGAGAGGCGCCCUGUAAUAUUUGUAAGCUUUUGUUACAUGACAAGGAGGCGAUCGGGACAUUUUCCUGUGGGAGCUCAAAUCUGGAAGCCGCAAGAGGCUGUCUAGUAGUAGAUCAAAUUUUGUAGUGUGAAGGAAAUUUUUGUUAUUUCCUGUGAAAUAUUUUUGAUUACCUGAUUGGAAAUACUAUAUACAAGUAGAUUUACUGUACCUCUAUAAGUUUGUGUAGCGUGUAUGAUAGAUCUAUAUGCUAGAGAGUAAGCACACAGUAGACAUUGAAAGCUAUUUUGUAACACUGAACAAAAGCCCGAGGAGACAGGCGCUGGCAGGGGACUGAAGUAAACAUUUGAAACCCACUCAAAGCCCUGAACUCUGAAAAAAAAAGAAAAAAAUUGCUUCUGGCUUAACAUACGUAGCUUUCCGCAACUUAAGGGUGUGAAACUUGGCUUCCAAGAGUUAAGUGGCCUUAGACACAGCUGUAAGUGGAUUACUGAAGUUCAUCAACGCACUUAUGCACAGGUCUUGUGCCGGAAAUUGCCGAGUAUUGCGAGUGCACGCAAGAAAUGUUUUCUGUUUAGUAUAGUGUGGCAGCCAUGCUCCCAAGACCCGCGUGAACGAUGAGUACCUGUGCUGAAGCCCCGUCGAAAACCAGGAAGAGGAGAGUGGAAAGACCCCCUACAAAAUGGAAGGGACAGGGAGAAGGACCCGAGGACGAUGCUUCGCCGGAUUCCACCACGACGGACGAGCUCGCCGAAAAACUAAAGGUGAGUGGAGUUCAUUAACGGCAUUCUCAGCCAGGUGAGGCCCUCCAGCCUGGCUACAGAGGUCAAAGGUCACAGUGAAGGUAAAGUGUUGCUGCAUUUUGUGUAGAGAGGUAUGAGAG
rnacentral:lncRNA from 1 species